rnacentral:rRNA from 1 species
CUGAUGCAGCCAUCCCGCGUGUAUGAUGAAGGCCUUCGGGUUGUAAAGUACUUUUGGCAGAGAAGAAAAGGCAUCCCCUAAUACGGGAUGCUGCUGACGGUAUCUGCAGAAUAAGCACCGGCUAACUACGUGCCAGCGCCGCGGUAAUAA